AACGUAGGACACGCGCGUUAUCCGGAGUUACUGGGCGUAAAGGGCGGGUAGGUGGUGCGAUAAGACUGGUGUGAAAGCCUUCGGCUUAACCGAGGGAGGACACUGGUGACUGUCGGACUUGAGGCAGAUAGAGGGGUGUAGAAUUCCGGGUGUAGUGGUGAAAUGCGUAGAGAUCCGGAGGAAUACCAGAGGCGAAGGCGGCACCCUGGGUCUGACCUGACACUGAUCCGCGACAGCAUGGGGAGCGAACGGG
rnacentral:rRNA from 1 species